UAAGUCCGAAUUUCUGGGACUGGCGCCCGAGGGAACGUAUUUUUUGAGCGUUCACCAGGCAAUUAUAUGUAGCUCCGUGAACUGCCACUGCCUCCUGAUUCGGUAGUACGGACAGUAGUGUCUUAGCUGGCCGGUUCGCUCUGAGCUUUGAAGAGAGGUUAGGCAAACCUUCCUGCACGUAGUAGGUCUUGAGAACGUUUUAGUUACUGCCUCACCCCGCUCUCUUCCCCCCCAGGAGCACAGUCCUACAGCAGCUGGACUGUUCCAUGUCCCAGAGCGUAUCCUGUAGAAACAGGAUUGCAAGACAGCUUUUUAAGUUUUUUGUUUUGUUUUGUUUUUAAUAAUUUUUCUGUGGAACAGAGUUCAUGUUCUGUUCGCCAGAUGAUGAAACAUUAGGGAUAAAAGAACAUUUAUUAAUGAAUCAUAACACUGAUCAAAUUCAUUUUUACAUCAAAGGUGUACAAUUUAGCCUACUUCUAGCUGCAGUUUUGUUGUCUUCCAUCCGUUAAGGAGAUCUGGGAAAAAGCAGUCCCAAGAAGGGUGAUGUUGAUGGUUUCCCGAAUUAGUAAACAAACAAAACAAAACAACUUCCCAGCACAGGAACCAACAGUACAAAUGAGACAGAGUAGCAGCUACAAGUUAUUGGGGUGUGUAGUUCACUUAGGCACGGGAGGGGGGAUUUUUCUAGAGCCGCAGGUGCCUGAUGAGGUCGUGGCUCGCCGCCUGAAAUGCGGGUAGGCCAAAUGGAGGUCUGAGUAAAAUGCACAUUGGAUUUCUACAGAUACGUUAUGGGAAAGAAAGAAUGUGAACUAGUUCAUUUUAUGUGGAUGACACGCUGAUAUGGGAACGUUUUUGAAAAUUUAAAAUUACGUAUGUGGUUCGGAUUACGCGUGUUGAAUGGUGCUUUUCUGGAGGAUUCCCCUGAAAGUUGGAUAAGGUAACGCUGUCAGGUUAAAAGAAGGGGCCUGGAGUUAAGGAGACCUGAUCGCUUGUGCUCACAUUCUCUGCUGAGCUGAGUGCCCCUGGGAAAAUGACAGAACUCCUGAGGGCCUUUGUACUGCAUGUGAAAAUGAAGAGUAUGGGCUGGGAAUUCUGGUUGGAAUAGAAAGCAUAGCCUCUUGGGAUUAUUGGUGUCCUUGCUCACUCAGUUGUAGACACAGCACACUUACUGUGCGCUUGAUUUGAGUCUCUUCAGCUUAUUAUGUGGUAUCCUUGAAUUCCUGUGCUCAUGGACCUCAUGAAUACACAUCGAGAUUGGGAGAAAAGAGGUGCAAGGACCAGCCCUGGGACGCUCCAACGUUUAAGAAUCAGGGAGAAGAGGAGAAUCCAGUUGAGAACGAGGAGGAGAAACCAAGGAAGGAGGAGAAAAAGCAAGAAAAGGGUUUCUAGGUGGAAACUAGCAAGUGCGCUCAAUGUUGUUGAAAAGUCAAGCUGGAUGUAGCCUGAGAAUUGACUACUUGCUUGAACCACAAGGGUCAUUGGUGACCUGGGCUAAAGCACUUUUGGUGGAGUGAUAAGGUUGAACUCUAAUUACGAUGGACUCAAGAGGAACAGAAUCUAUGUCUUAUGUUUCAUUAUGUAAAGAAAUCUCUCACUUCCUCUGUGUUUCUUCAUUUCUGCAUUUCUGCCAACCCCCUCAAUUGGGAUAAACCAAACCAGUAUCUUUAUCCAGAGUAUCUUUACUUCUCAGAAAGUGGGAGAAUGGGAAUAAUUAUACGUAUUUUAGUACUUUGUCCCCAUCUCAUCCAUUGGUCUGGUCUGUUUGUAGAAUCCCUGAAAUUGUCCCUGUAUUUUACCUUACCACUUGGCAUGAAGGCUCCCUAAGUAGUUUUAGUGAUAGUAACAGUUUGUCUUAUCCUUUCAAUUUGAAGUGCUUGUUUUCCUGUUAUAUCAAAUGGCUGCUCAGUGAGUAUUCAAGGUACAGAAAUGAUCAGGUUUCAUUUCAAGCUAGCUGGAUAAAGAAUAUAGUUGGCUGGGCAGCAGCUGGGUUCUAGCCUUGAUUCUGAAAUAAUUGUGUGAUUCAGUGAAGGUUCUUAGUUGUAAGAAAAUCUGGGCAGGUCACUUAUGAAAAUUUAAUCUCUAAAAAGAGAAAGCCUUUAAAAUUU